UACGGAGGGUGCAAGCGUUAUCCGGAUUUACUGGGUUUAAAGGGUGCGUAGGCGGAUUGGUAAGUCCGUGGUGAAAUCCCCGAGCUUAACUUGGGAACUGCCAUGGAUACUAUUAAUCUUGAAUAUCUUGGAGGUAAGCGGAAUAUGUCAUGUAGCGGUGAAAUGCUUAGAUAUGACAUAGAACACCAAUUGCGAAGGCAGCUUACUACGCGAUAAUUGACGCUGAGGCACGAAAGCGUGGGGAUCAAACAGG
rnacentral:rRNA from 1 species